GUCAGAACAUUCAGCCGACAUAUUCCGAAUGCUUGCGAGUUGCUUAUUUUCCCAAUACAAACGAUGCUCCAAUAAAAAAUCGUUUUGCAUUGCGUUUCUAUAAAUAAAAGAGAUUUCCUACUCGGGAUUCCACGGAUGAUCAGGCUGGAAAAAAAAAACUUUGGGCUUGUAGUUUAUGAGUUAAACCAAUUUAGCACUUCACAAAUAUAAUUUUAGGCUACGUGAAAUAUGAAUUAUAGUUGAUGAAUUUCUUUAAUAGAGGAGUUAUAUAGUUUAGUGAUAGUGACAGUUCAAAGUUCAAGGUACGUCUGAAAAAUGUUUUCCAUGUUAACGAGGAUGACAACUGGCUGCCAUGUGGGUAUGAGACUGGCAUCUUCACACAUUGGCGGCAAGCUUUUGGGAAAAGUCGCCAUAAUAACAGCAUCCACUGAUGGAUCGACUGCGGAAAGGUAAACGUGAUGGUACACCUGAAAAGUCUCGUACCCCGUCCCAAGAAGCUGCACUGGAUGAAAAUAGAUCACCAUCUAGAACCUAUAUAUGGAAUGAAGAGAUUGAGAAAUUGCAGAUAAAAAAAGAUGAACUUAAAAAGAUUCAAGUAUCAUGAUUGCUGCAGCAGCCACUUCCUCAACAAAAGCACCCAUGUCGGUAAAGUAACUUUCUGUUUCAAACUCAUUCCUUUCACUGUCCAGGACAGAACAGUUGGAACAUGUCCAGGCGAGGUUAAAGGAAUGCACCCCAAGUCUGUGUGCACUCUGGGAAAUUUGUUGUGACAUAG
rnacentral:misc_RNA from 1 species